rnacentral:rRNA from 1 species
GACGUAGGGCGCGAGCGUUGUCCGGAAUUAUUGGGCGUAAAGAGCUCGUAGGCGGCUUGUUGCGUCGACUGUGAAAGCCCGCGGCUUAACCGCGUGGUCGGCAGUCGAUACGGGCAGGCUAGAAUUCGGUAGGGGAGACUGGAAUUCCUGGUGUAGCGGUGAAAUGCGCAGAUAUCAGGAGGAACACCGAUGGCGAAGGCAGGUCUCUGGGCAUUAACUGACGCUGAGGAGCGAAAGCAUGGGGAGCGAACAGG